UACGUAGGGCGCGAGCGUUGUCCGGAAUCAUUGGGCGUAAAGAGCGUGUAGGCGGUCCGGUAAGUCCGCUGUGAAAGUCGGGGGCUCAACCCUCGAAUGCCGGUGGAUACUGUCGGGCUAGAGUGCGGAAGAGGCGAGUGGAAUUCCUGGUGUAGCGGUGAAAUGCGCAGAUAUCAGGAGGAACACCUAUUGCGAAGGCAGCUCGCUGGGACGUAACUGACGCUGAGACGCGAAAGCGUGGGGAGCAAACAGG
rnacentral:rRNA from 1 species